AGGAUAAACGCUGGCGGCGUGCAUGAGACAUGCAAGUCGAACGGACACACGGGGCUUGCUCUGUGUGUUAGUGGCGGACGGCUGAGUAACGCGUAGGUGACCUGCCCCGAAGUGGGGAAUAACUGCCCGAAAGGGUGGCUAAUACCGCAUGUGGUGAUGCGUUCAUUCGCAUCAGUAAAGCCGCAAGGCGCUUCGGGAGGGGCCUGCGUCCGAUUAGCUCGUUGGUGGGGUAACGGCUCACCAAGGCGACGAUCGGUAGGUGGUCUGAGAGGACGAUCACCCAGACUGGGACUGAGACACGGCCCAGACUCCUACGGGAGGCAGCAGUCGGGAAUUUUGCGCAAUGGACGAAAGUCCGACGCAGCAACGCCGCGUGAGGGAUGACGGCCUUCGGGUUGUAAACCGUCUUUCAGUCAGGACGAAGCGAGAGUGACGGUACCUGCAGAAGAAGCACCGGCCAACGACGUGCCAGCAGCCGC
rnacentral:rRNA from 1 species